rnacentral:rRNA from 1 species
CGACCGGCGCACGGGUGAGUAACGCGUGGGUAACCUGCCUCAUACAGGGGGAUAACAGUUGGAAACGGCUGCUAAUACCGCAUAAGCGCACAGUACCGCAUGGUACGGUGUGAAAAACUCCGGUGGUAUGAGAUGGACCCGCGUCUGAUUAGGUAGUUGGUGGGGUAACGGCCUACCAAGCCGACGAUCAGUAGCCGACCUGAGAGGGUGACCGGCCACAUUGGGACUGAGACACGGCCCAA